GACGAACGCUGGCGGCGUGCCUAACACAUGCAAGUCGAACGAGAAGUUCAUUAAUGAUACCUUCGGGUUGAAUUAAUGAAUGGACAGUGGCGGACGGGCGAGUAACGCGUGAGGAACCUGCCUUUCAGAGGGGGACAACAGUUGGAAACGACUGCUAAUACCGCAUAACGCGUAGAGAUCGCAUGGUCUUUACGCCAAAGAUUUAUCGCUGAGAGAUGGCCUCGCGUCUGAUUAGCUAGUUGGUGAGGUAACGGCCCACCAAGGCAACGAUCAGUAGCCGGACUGAGAGGUUGACCGGCCACAUUGGGACUGAGAUACGGCCCAGACUCCUACGGGAGGCAGCAGUGGGGAAUAUUGGGCAAUGGGCGCAAGCCUGACCCAGCAACGCCGCGUGAAGGAAGAAGGCUUUCGGGUGUAAACUUCUUUGUCGAGGAGAGUAGAAGACUGUACUCGGCGAAUAAGCCACGGCUAACUACGUG
rnacentral:rRNA from 1 species